AUAAUUUAAAAUUUUGGAGUCAAGAAAAUAAGCCAGUGGAAUAGGAAGAAAACAUUUCUCUCACCUUAUGGUCUGAUUUCUUUUCUAUAGGCCAGCAGUCCUCAAGCCACCUUUUGUUCAAAAUUUGGAUUUUGUGGAGGUCACUGUUUCCUAGAGAUAGAUUUAAAAUGUUGUGCCCUUGCUUUCCAGGUUUUCAAAAUGCUUUUGAUAAAAAUCAUUUAAAGACAUGACUUUUUAAAAAAAAUGUUUUAGUAGGACUAACAAAAUCAUGUUAUUAAACAUGUGUCUACUGAGGGUUAUUUCUUUCAACUGUAAUUUCACUUUUUAAAAUAGCCUGCCCCAUGCAGCAAUAUGUUUAGGUACCUGUGUGAGGUAGGCUGUGAUUCUGUGACUUCAUAGAAGAGGUCAAGAAAAGGUGCUUGUGCUCCCAAUAUUUUAAGGCUCUUUUAAUGAGGACGUUUCCAGCAUGCUCUGCAAUAACAGAACUUCUACAGAAAUUCUCCAAAGAUGGGCGCCUGAGUGGCUCAGUCAGAUUUCCUGUAGUCUUACCUGGACUUUAUCACCACCAUUUGCCAUCAUCAUUAUCUUGA
rnacentral:lncRNA from 1 species